CAGAGUAUAGCUUAGGCAGUAAAGCAUCCCCCUUACACUGGGAAGAUAUCUGUGCGAAUCAGAUUACCCUGA
rnacentral:tRNA from 1 species